rnacentral:rRNA from 1 species
UACGUAGGGACCGAGCGUUGUCCGGAAUCAUUGGGCGUAAAGAGCGUGUAGGCGGCUUUACAGGUCCGUUGUGAAAACUCGAGGCUUAACCUCGAGAUGUCAUCGGAAACCAUCUGGCUAGAGUCCGGAAGAGGAGAGUGGAAUUCCUGGUGUAGCGGUGAAAUGCGCAGAGUAUCAGGAGGAACACCGGUGGCGAAGGCGGGUCUCUGGGCCGAUACUGACGCUGAGGAGCGAAAGCGUGGGAGCGAACAGG